rnacentral:rRNA from 1 species
UGGGGAAUAUUGGACAAUGGGCGAAAGCCUGAUCCAGCAAUGCCGCGUGAGUGAUGAAGGCCUUAGGGUUGUAAAGCUCUUUUACCCGGGAUGAUAAUGACAGUACCGGGAGAAUAAGCCCCGGCUAACUCCGUGCCAGCAGCCGCGGUAAUACGGAGGGGGCUAGCGUUGUUCGGAAAUACUGGGCGUAAAGCGAACGUAGGCGGCUUAGCAAGUCAGGGGUGAAAUCCCGGAGCUCAACUCCGGAACUGCCCUUGAAACUGCUUCGCUUGAAUCCUGGAGAGGCGAGUGGAAUUCCGAGUGUAGAGGUGAAAUUCGUAGAUAUUCGGAAGAACACCAGUGGCGAAGGCGACUCGCUGGACAGGUAUUGACGCUGAGGUUCGAAAGCGUGGGGAGCAAACAGG